rnacentral:rRNA from 1 species
UGAAGCUGGAAUCGCUAGUAAUCGUAGAUCAGCAUGCUACGGUGAAUACGUUCCCGGGUCUUGUACACACCGCCCGUCACACCACGAGAGUUUGUAACACCCGAAGCCGGUGGAGUAACCUUUUAGGAGCUAGCCGUCGAAGGUGGGACAAAUGAUUGGGGUGAAGUCGUAACAAGGUAGCCGUAUCGGAAGGUGCGGCUGGAUCACCUCCUUUCUAAGGA